GGUAGUAGCAAAUAUUCAAAUGAGAACUUUGAAGGCAGAAGAGGGGAAAGGUUCCAUGUGAACGGCACUUGCACAUGGGUUAGCCGAUCCUAAGAGACGGGGGAAGCCCGUCCGAGAGCGCGCUCAGCGCGAGCUUCGCAAGGGAAUCGGGUUAAAAUUACUGAACCGUGUCGCGGCCGCUGAUAGCAUGGGCAGCACA
rnacentral:ncRNA from 1 species